GUUGGAGAUGAAGUCACUUUGCCUUGUGAAAAUGUGAUAGACGGUCAGCAAGACUGUGAAAAUACUACAUGGACCUUCAAGGGUUCAGUAAGCAGAUCAGCAGUAGCCCUGUUUGAACUUGGGCAGAUUGGUGAAAACGCUAAAUCUAAAUCAGACAGACUGAGUGUUACAGAGAACUGUUCUCUGGUUAUAAAGAAGGUCACAGUCGAGGAUGUUGGUCGUUACAGUUGCAGACAGUACAAACAAAAAGAAGGACAACAUCAAGGUCCAGACUCUCAUGUUUAUCUGUCUGUUAUUAUCAUGACUGAACGUAAGGACGCUGAUGAGGUGAAGUUAAACUGCUCUGUGUUGACGCGUGAACAGUUCUGUAGACACACAGUGAAGUGGCUGUAUGAGGGUAAAGAUGUGGACAAAGAUAACAAAGACUUGAAGACAUCACAGCCUGUCUGCUACGCCACUGUGUCUUUCCUGGAUUCUCAUUUUGUUAACAAAUCAAAGUCUAACUUGACGUGUGAAGUGACAGAUGGUUACUCUGGAAAAGUGCAGCUGUUCACCUUCAGCCCUCAGUCCUCAGGUGAGAAAACAGGUGAGAAUAUGCUGAGCUGUUAAAACCACCAAAACAUUUGUUUAUUUGAUGACAGCAGAUGGUAAACACGAGGUAUUUAUUAACUGAACAGUUUCUUGGGUUGUGUUAUUUAAUUCAUGCAAGUGACGCAAAAACAACAACAACUGAAAAUACAAAAUCAACAACCAAUGACACUUCACCAGAACUACAAGGUAGUAACUCAUCUUUCUCUGGAGUCUCUCUGUCUUCCUGUCAGCCUCUUUCUCUCCACAUACUGAACUUCAUUAAUCUACUUUUUAUUUUAUUCAUUGUCUAAUUAUUUUUUACAUGUUUCUACUUUCUGCCUUUUUGAUGGCAAAACAUAAAAUAAUCAAAGCCUCUUUAAUUAAGUCACUUUCUAGAAAGACAAAACUGACCAUUCAUUGUAUAAAACAGAAAAUAGGAAGUGAUCGAGAAAAUUAUUAUUGAUUAUUGAUUGUAUCUCUCUCCUCUUUUGAAGUCUAAAGUCUGAAUGUCAGAGCGACACUUGGCUGUGGAGAUAUUUUCUUAUUCAGUCAGUCUCAGUCAAAAGUCUUCACACAACACAAAAUAACAAAAUAAGAUGUUGUUCUCUUUCCAGAUCAGAGGUGGUUCAUAAUUGUGUUUGUGGGAGUUGCAGCACUCUUAAUAACUGUUGUUAUUGUUGUUGCUCUGGUCAGAUGGAAGAAAACUAAAGGAAAAAAACCCCAGAUGGAUGAAAACACUG